GACGAACGCUGAGGCGUGCUUAACACAUGCAGUCGAACGAUGAGUGAGCUGCUCACGAUUAGUGCGAACGGGUGAGUAACACGUGAAUAACCUGCCUCAAUUUCGGAAUAACCCAGGGAAACCUGGGCUAAUACCGGAUACGUAAACCUGUGGCAUCACAUGGUUUUGGAAAGUUUUUCGAUUGAGGAUGGAUUCGCGGCCUAUCAGCUUGUUGGUGAGGUAAUGGCUCACCAAGGCGACGACGGGUAGCCGGCCUGAGAGGGUGGACGGCCACACUGGGACUGAGACACGGCCCAGACUCCUACGGGAGGCAGCAGUGGGGAAUAUUGCGCAAUGGACGAAAGUCUGACGCAGCGACGCCUCGUGAGGGACGAAGGUCUUCGGAUUGUAAACCUCUUUCAGCAGGGACGAAGCGAAAGUGACGGUACCUGCAGAAGAAGCA
rnacentral:rRNA from 1 species